CAUAGCGUAUAUUAAAGUUGUUGCAGUUAAAAAGCUCGUAGUUGGAUUUCUGGGAGGGUGCCAAUGUCCGUCGUCGUACGUGUUGCAGCGGCGCCCUUCCAUCCUUCUGUUAACGACUUUGGGCAUUCACUUGCCGGAGUCGGGCUCAGAUAUUUUACCUUGAGAAAAUUAGAGUGUUUCAGGCAGGCUAGGCCGGAAUACAUUAGCAUGGAAUAAUGGAAUAGGACUACGGUCUCUUUGUUGGUUUGAGGGACUGCAGUAAUGAUUAAUAGGGAUAGUUGGGGGCAUUAGUAUUUAAUUGUCAGAGGUGGAAUUCUCGGAUUUGUUAAAGACUAACUUAUGCGAAAGCAUUUGCCAAGGAUGUUUUCAUUAAUCAAGAACGAAAGUUAGGGGAUCAAAGACGAUCAGAUACCGUCCUAGUCUUAACCAUAAACUAUGCCGACUCGGGAUCGGGGGCGCGAACUAUCCGCCUUCGGCACCGUAUGAGAAAUCAAAGUCUU
rnacentral:rRNA from 1 species